GACGAACGCUGGCGGCGUGCUUAACACAUGCAAGUCGAACGGAAAGGCCCCUUUUGGGGUACUCGAGUGGCGAACGGGUGAGUAACACGUGAGUAACCUGCCCUUGACUUCGGGAUAACUUCAGGAAAGUGGGGCUAAUACCGGAUAGGAAUCCUUGCUGCAUGGUGGGGGUUGGAAAGCUUCGGCGGGUUUGGAUGGACUCGCGGCUUAUCAGCUUGUUGGUGGGGUAGUGGGUUACCAAGGCUUUGACGGGUAGCCGGCCUGGGAGGGCGACCGGCCACAUUGGGACUGAGAUACGGCCCAGACUCCUACGGGAGGCAGCAGGGGGGAAUAUUGCACAAUGGGCGGAAGCCUGAUGCAGCAACGCCGCGUGCGGGAUGACGGCCCUCGGGUUGGAAACCGCUUUCAGCAGGGGCGAAGCUUGUGGUGACGGUACCUGCAGAAGAAGCACCGGCUAACUACGUG
rnacentral:rRNA from 1 species